AGAAGGAAUCAUAGGCACAGAGUUAUAAGUAUGUUGAAGAAUGUUACAAAACGGGUAAGAGACCCAGGAUCCAAGCACAAGACGUCUGUCUUCGUGCAAGUUCAUAUAAACAUUACAAUCUCAUUUAAGAAUUUUUUUUAGGAGGGAGGUGAGACAAGAUGGCAGAACAGAAAACUCCACAGAUCAUCCUCCUACCCCUACCACAAGGAUACUAAGUUAACAAACAACUACACAGAAAAAAGCAUCUUCAUAAGAGCUAAAAAUCAGGUGAGCACUCACAGUACCUGGUUUUAACCUCGUAUCACUGAAAAGACAGAAAAACAGUUCUGAGUCUCCGAUGCCACCCCUCCCUGACCCCAGCAGCAUGGCUUGGUGCCAAGAGCAUCUCUGGGUGCUGGUGAAGGGAGAACAGAGCAAUUGUGAGGCACUGAACUCAGUGCCAUUUUGUUGCAGCAAAAAGGAAAACCUGACCAAACUAAGCUGAAGUCCACCCAAAAGAAG
rnacentral:lncRNA from 1 species